AUUAUGAUAGUCAAUACUCGAUAGUAUAAUACUUGGGCUGAUUGUGUACAAACACGACAAACUAUACAGCUUAUUUUUGCCCAAAAAAUCAUUUCUGGAUCGUGCUUCUUCUUAUUACUUGUUGCGUUAUUGUAAAAUAUUGUAGGCACAUCGUAAUUUAAUACAUUACGAGUGGGUUACUACACUCUUCUUUGUGAAAUAAGUUGAAACGAACCAAAAAUGGAGUCAGAUAAAUACAUUACAAUUGUUCCUGUCGAGUAUCCUCGAAAUAGGCAACAGUUCAUACGGCCGCCCGAUGAAUAUAGUGAUUUUCCUCAAAACCGAAAUUGGCCCCAUACAAGAGCAGUAAGAACCGAAUCGAGUACUAUGCGGAGGAAAGAACUGAAACGGUCAUUGGAACACAAAAGAUCUCUCAAUCAUUCUCUUAAUGAUCCUAUACAAUCAUGUUCCAAGCCAAUAAUAAGUGCUCCACUUGCAUUCCAAACCGCUCCAAAACCUAAAAAAAACCCCCUAAGUGUAUAUAUUUAUACAAUGGCUGACAUAGUCUUACAUAUGGAUAUAGAAGAUGCAAAUACAACUACAGUAUCAGAUCUUGUUGAUAUUAUAAUACAACAAAAAAAUUUAGGAUUAUCAAGAAUUGCUAAGAAUAUUUUUACGAUUUGGAUGAAAUCAAAUGUUUUAGAAAUUCAAUUAAAACCACAUCACAAAUUAUUGACAGUCUUUCAAAAAUGGUCCUCACUUGAGGAUAAAUAUUGCAUUCAAACUAAAAAAAUUAUUUUCAAGGAACCCAUUUUGAGUUUUCAAAGAAAUGUGUUUUUUCCUAGAAAAGACGAAGAAAAAAUUAAGGACCAAAAAAUUAUUGAGUUAUUGUACGCAGAAGCAAAAUAUAAUGUAUUGCAAGGUCGAUAUCCUGUUGAAGUUAACCACUGUUUAAUGUUAGCUAGCUUGCAGUGCCGAAUAGAAUUAGGUCCAAACAAUUUACAACAAUACACCUCAAGUUUUUUUAGAGAUAACCGGGAAAGAUUUUUGCCAUCUCAUUUAUACAAAAGCUGGUCAUCAUGGUUAAAUCUUGAUAGAAAAAGUACACCGCAUUCACGGCUUGCUGACCAUUUAAAACACAUUCAGAUAACUGGAUCUGAUCGUAGACUUUACCACAAGUAUUUAGAGUGCUGUUACAUGCUACCAUUUUAUGGAUGUGCUUUUUUCCAUGGUCAAAUUGAACAACCUGUUCGAGGUUUGAUGUCUUUAAUUAACCAUAAAGAUGUUCCUAUUUACAUCGCAGUCAACACUGAAGGAGUUUAUAUUUUAGAUUGUGUGGAAAAUAGUUUAUUGUUGGGUCUUAAGUAUCAAGAUUUUUCAUGGGAAUUUGCUAAGCCAUCUCAAGAAGAUAACGAUCAUUGUUUACCAUGUAUAUUUCUACAGUUUUUAAUAUUAGAAAAUGGAACAAGAGUAUCAAAAAUUUUACAAGUAUUUUCUAAACAAGCUGUUAUGAUAGAUGCUCUAAUUGCGGGUUUUGUCGAAGAUUUUAGACAUAAAUUAGCUAUGAAUGAAUAUGAUGAUGUAGAUCGAACUGGCGGCUUUGAACAUAUUUCUGUUGGAGAUGGAUCACAAAUACCUUUGGCACAUUUAUUCCGCAGUGAGCCUCAAUCUCGAUUAUGUAAUAAGCUAAAUAAGUUGACUCUGGCUACAUUUGAUGAAGAUGCAUGCAAUCAUCAUUUAGAAAGUUGUUAAUACUAUAGUUGUUUUGAUCAUACACAAUUAUGCAUGGUUUGUACACUAUUUAUGAAUUUAAUCUACUGCAACAGACUAAAGUCAUUGUAUUGGACAAAUGGGAUCUUGGUCAUUCAGCUACUAAAAGUGGAUGCUUAAUAUAAUAACCUUUUUUUCUAUUGAUCUCUAUAUAUAACCAUCCUGUCUUAAAAUUACUUUUUUUUUGUUUCUUACCAUUGAACGUGAUUACCUUUACCUAGUCAAUUUUGUUUACUUAUAUUUUAGUUGAAUCUUAAAUAAUUUAAUAUUUUUUUAUUGUAUAUAAUAUUUUAAAUUAGUUUUCAUCGGUCUUGAUUAUCAAGGAUUCUAUAAAAAAUAUUUUUGUUUAGAGAAAUUCAUCAAAACUCUAUUUUUCAGAGGAUUAUAGAACAUUUCUAGUCUGAGUAUAUUUUGUCCUUAGUAUUGAGUAUAAUUUUAACCGUAUAAUUUUUAAAUUUGGUAUUUGAUUAAAUUGCCAACUUUAAAGAGGUACAAGAGUUCUAUCAAUAUUGAUUUAUGUUGCUUACAUACAUUUUUAAGGUUAUAUUAUGAUACAAAACUUUAUUCAUCAGAAGAAGUAACCACCCGGUUGAUUUGUGUAAUUAGUUUAGCAUUGUUCUGUUGUUUUUUAUAUUGGCUAAUUUUAAUCAAUUAAGUAGGAAAAAGUUAGGUUAGUAUUGUGAGUGACCAGAACUUCACUGAAAAAUAACCAAUCGCUGCUUGGGUCGCUCUUAUUUUAUAUAAAGGUUAUCAUUAUUAAUAUGAAACUAUUGUUCACUUUUAUAUUUGUAUUUAACAUAUCUAUAUCAAAUUUUCGAUUUAAUCUCUUCAAUUGUCAAAUUUUUUUCAUCUACAAAUUUAAUAUGAUAAGUGUUUAUAAUGUAAGUUUUAAAAUAUUGUAAUAUUUAUAUUUGUAUUUUAAGAUUAUUUUUUUGUGGUAUUACAGCUGUGAUGGGAACUUCUACCAAAUUAUUAUCUAUUACAAUCAUACAUAAAUAUGUGUGUUAGUACUACUUGUUCAGUACAGUCAUGUAUAAAGUAAUAUUCUUGAAAAAUUCAUGUUAUGUCUAAAUUAAACUUUUGGAACAAAUAUUUAAAAACAAAAAUGUAAAUAGGUAAUUUAUUGACAAAAAUUAUGUAUUAAAAAAAAACAACCAUUGUAAUUUACAUUACCUAAACUAGACUAGACAAGUUUAUAGUCUGGGUAAUGUUUAAUGUUGCCAUUAAAUUGAGUUAUGUACAAAUGUACAAAUUAAACGGUAGUCCAUAACAUAUUUACUUCAAACAGAAAAACUAAUUGUGCAGUUUAUUUUAGUUAGUUCUAAUUUAUUACAAUUUUUAUGGAAGAUAAUUUCUAAUACCUUAACUACACAAAUCACAUGUGUAUUAUAUUAUUAACAUUAAAGAAAGUGUAUUAAAAAUAUUUUAGUUUAAAUGAACCAAUUUCUGAAAUUUGGAAAAAAAACAAUAGUCAACACAAAACAUAUAUUAUACAUUGUAGUAUAAGAGGUUAAAUAAUCAGAUUUUCCAUUUACUAUUGUUUGAUAUAAAAUUGUAUGCUUCCUAAACUUGUUGAUUUGUUUUUGUUGUUGAUCUAAAUAGUGAUAUCAUUAAUAUUAAAUUAUUUAUUUACAGGUGUUGUAAAAUUUUAACGUAUGAAUUGUUGUUUAAAUUUUAAAAUGUAGUAUAGAUAUGAAACUGCAAUAUUUAAUAAAUGGUAAAUGCAUCAAUACUCUUUAAAAUCAUUGUUUUUUUUUUAAAAAAAUUAUAUAUAUAUAUAAAUAACUUUAAUUUAUCUAUGUACAGCUCUAACAUUACAUAUUACAUAUUUUUAAAGCUAAACAUUCCUUACUACAAUGUGUUUUUUACAUGUUUGAAUAGAUAACCCUGCGAGACUACAUUUUUUACCACUUCCGCUACAAAUGCCCUAAAUGUGUUAAUUUAACUUAAAGUAAUACAUACUAUUAAUACUUAUUUAAUUCUUAUGAACAUGUAUACAUAUAUAUUUGUCGAGAAAAGUAAUAAAUCUUAUUUUAAAUAAGUAUUAAACGUAAAUAGUAUGUAAUGGAUAGGCUAUGUGUGUGUGUAUAUCUAAAAUAUAAUGGGUAGUGUUCUGAAUAAGGUUGAGAGAUAGCAAUAUAAAAUGUUUAUCUUCUGUUCUACAAUGAAAAACAAAAAAAAAUGGUUCACCUUCUAUGAAUCAGUAAUAAACAGAUUGAUCACUGAAUAAUCAGAGACAAAAAAACGAUAAUAUAUUUUAUUAAUUAAUAAUUGUUAAUGUAAAUAAUAAUUUUUACUGAGUUCUAUGAAUUCGAAAUUAGAAUUCUGAUUUCUGUUUUUUGAGUGUUCUAAGUUAUGAUUCUCUUAUAAAUAUUACACAAUUAAUUAAGCAGUAAGAACCUAUAAUCAGCUUACCUAGUAAAAACAUAUUCUACCUACUUAAGAUAAAGUUAGACAUUUGUAUAUCAUAAUUAUUGUUUAUAUAUUAUAUAUUUUUUUUACUAAUUACUGUGUAUUUAUUGGUGAAAUAUUGAUUCAUAAAAAAUGUAAUUUCAUUUAUAAGUACCUCUAGUCGUUCCUUGUUAGUUUUAUUAUCAGUUCAUUUUGUGUUUAUAGUAUUUCAAAAAAUAAAGAAUAAGAGCCUUAGAGCUGAAUCUCUUGGAAAUUGUCAUGAUAAUUAAAUAUUUAAAUGCUGUUUGAUUUGUAUGCAUUUUGCCUUAAUUGACAUAAAUUGUAUUACUUAAACCUUUAAAUUAAAUAACAGGAUAAAACACAUCUAGUUUAAAUAGUACUAUUAUUAAAAUAUAUGUUUAAAAAAGAAUUAUGUAGAUAAGAUAAGAUAUUAUAUUAUAUGUAAC